UGAGCUGUGGUUGGUGAUUCCUCAUGUUACAUCCAGGGACACUGGAGACUAUCAGUGUGUGGCAGAGAAUGAACAUGGAGCAGUGGAGGGGUUCAUAACCAUCACUGUGGAACGGCGAGAUUCCAAUGAAUGGAAAGCAGGAUUGCUUGGAGCUGGAAUCUGUUUGAGUGUUGGACUGAGUGGAUUCUUCAUCUUCAUGUGUGUGAGAAAAGGGAGCAGCACAGGAAGAGGUCAUUCAGCCCAAGCAGAGCGUGUGGGCAGUUCCUC